rnacentral:rRNA from 1 species
GACGAACGCUGGCGGCGUGCUUAACACAUGCAAGUCGAACGGUGAAGGGACCGGUUUUUGCUGGUUCUGGAUGAGUGGCGAACGGGUGAGUAACACGUGAGUAACCUGCCCCCUUCUUCUGGAUAACCGCAUGAAAGUGUGGCUAAUACGGGAUAUUCUGCGCCUGCUGCAUGGUGGGUGUGGGAAAGAUAUUGUUUCGGUGGGGGAUGGGCUCGCGGCCUAUCAGCUUGUUGGUGGGGUGAUGGCCUACCAAGGCGGUGACGGGUAGCCGGCCUGAGAGGGUGGACGGUCACACUGGGACUGAGACACGGCCCAGACUCCUACGGGAGGCAGCAGUGGGGAAUAUUGCACAAUGGGCGCAGGCCUGAUGCAGCGACGCCGCGUGAGGGAUGGAGGCCUUCGGGUUGUAAACCUCUUUCGCCAGUGAAGCAGGCCUGUCCCUUUUGUGGGUGGGUUGACGGUAGCUGGAUAAGAAGCGCCGGCUAACUACGUG